rnacentral:rRNA from 1 species
GGCGAGCGAAGAGGGAUAAGCUCAAAUUUUAAAUCUGUUGGGUUCCACUCGACAGAGUUGUAUUUUGAAGAAACGUUUUCUGCGUCCAGGAUUAGCCUAAAUCCUUUGGGAUAAGGUAUCAUGGAGGGUGAGAAUCCCGUUCAUGGUUAAUCUUAAGGAAGCUCUACGAUACGUUUUCCAAGAGUCGAGUUGUUUGGGAUUGCAGCUCAAAAUGGGAGGUAAAUUUCUCCUAAGGCUAAAUAUUGGCGAGAGACCGAUAGCGAACAAGUACCGUGAGGGAAAGAUGAAAAGAACUUUGAAAAGAGAGUUAAACAGUACGUGAAAUUGUUGAAAGGGAAACGAUUGAAGUCAGUCAUACCAACGGGAAAUCAACCUUUUGAGCUCGGUCUCGUGGGUUUUGAAGAGUUUCAAAGCCUUCGGAUUCGCGGGAUUGGGAUCUCUUGGUGUACUUUUUCGUACGGUUAGUCAACAUCGGUUUUGAAUGUCAUAAAAUGACUGGAGGAAUGUAGCUUCGAUCUCGUAUUGAAGUGUUAUAGCCUUUGGUAGAUGUGAUGUUUGAGACCGAGGAUUGCAACGGAUACCCUUCAGGGCUAUUCGUCUGAUCUCUGAUACGUUGCCUUGAUGUUGAAAGCUUGCUUAUGAUGUUAGGGU